rnacentral:rRNA from 1 species
CCUACGGGCGGCAGCAGUGAGGAAUAUUGGUCAAUGGGCUUACGCCUGAACCAGCCAAGUCGCGUGAGGGAAGACUGCCCUAUGGGUUGUAAACCUCUUUUGUCAGGGAGCAACGCCGGCUACGUGUAGCCGGACUGAGAGUACCUGAAGAAAAAGCAUCGGCUAACUCCGUGCCAGCAGCCGCGGUAAUACGGAGGAUGCGAGCGUUAUCCGGAUUUAUUGGGUUUAAAGGGUGCGUAGGCGGAAUGCCAAGUCAGCGGUAAAAGCGCGGGGCUCAACCUCGCUCCGCCGUUGAAACUGGCGUUCUUGAGUGGGCGAGAAGUAUGCGGAAUGCGUGGUGUAGCGGUGAAAUGCAUAGAUAUCACGCAGAACUCCGAUUGCGAAGGCAGCAUACCGGCGCUCAACUGACGCUCAUGCACGAAAGUGUGGGUAUCGAACAGGAUUAGAUACCCCAGUAGUC